GGGGGUGGGGUGGUGGGUUUGGUGUUUGUGUACAUACAGGAUAAAGCAUCUUGGAAAUAUUAUCAGAAAGCAUAAGAUUUCUCCUAAUGAUUCUUUUCCAAAAGCACAACUGCUUUAAAGUAAUGAACUUGGAGAUGAAAAAUUUCUUGCAAAUUUUGUAUGUGGGAUGCAGAUAACUAGUUAUUUAAUUAAUAGAUUUCUCAGCACCAAGAAAUAUUUUCCUGUGAGAGCACAUACAUAAAAUUGUGUUUUUCUUACAGUAAAUUUUGUGCUUAAAUAGUAGGCUAACUGUGCUUCAUGUGCUGCCUUGCAGGUUUACUAUGUGUAUGGCUUUA
rnacentral:misc_RNA from 1 species